rnacentral:rRNA from 1 species
GUGUCAGCAGCCGCGGUAAUACGUAGGGUGCAAGCGUUAAUCGGAAUUACUGGGCGUAAAGCGUGCGCAGGCGGUUUUGUAAGUCUGUCGUGAAAUCCCCGGGCUUAACCUGGGAAUUGCGAUGGAGACUGCAAGGCUAGAAUCUGGCAGAGGGGGGUAGAAUUCCACGUGUAGCAGUGAAAUGCGUAGAGAUGUGGAGGAACACCGAUGGCGAAGGCAGCCCCCUGGGUCAAGAUUGACGCUCAUGCACGAAAGCGUGGGGAGCAAACAGGAUUAGAUACCCUGGUAGUCC